UACAGAGGUCUCGAGCGUUGUUCGGAUUCAUUGGGCGUAAAGGGUGCGUAGGUGGCGCUGUAAGUCAGGUGUGAAAUUUCGGAGCUUAACUCCGAAACUGCAUUUGAUACUGCGGUGCUUGAGGACUGGAGAGGAGACUGGAAUUUACGGUGUAGCAGUGAAAUGCGUAGAGAUCGUAAGGAAGACCAGUGGCGAAGGCGAGUUUCUGGACAGUAACUGACGGCUGAGG
rnacentral:rRNA from 1 species